rfam:Heligmosomoides polygyrus genome assembly, scaffold: HPBE_scaffold0008882
CCAAUGGCCCUCUUUAGGGCCACAGACGUCUCAUGCGAAUUUCAU